rnacentral:ncRNA from 2 species
AUCUUAUCAAGAGUGGUGGAGGGACUGGCCCUUUGAAACCCGGCAACCAGUAUAUUUUUUAAUAUAUGUGGUGCUAAAUCCUGCAGCAAACGCUGAUAGAUGAGAA